AUUAAUUUUUUGAAGGGUUUUUUGUGUCUCUUUUUCCUUCAGUUCUGCUCUGAUUUUAGUUAUUUCUUGCCUUCUGCUAGCUUUUGAAUGCCUACACAGGUAAUUCUUCUGCAUUACACAAUCAAGUGUACUCUGUGUAGCCACUAAACUUCAAGAAAUUGUUUGGAUUCAGAUGUACUUAAAUGAUAAGAAACCCAUUUAUAACCCAUUCACAGGCAGGGCCUGGGGAGGCAGGUUUCUCUAAACACUUUGCAUAAAAUUAGACAAGACCAAGAGAGUUUAGACAAAGCUCAGGCUGGUUCCAUUUCAAAUCUCAGAUCCAGUGGACAUGUGAAUGAAUACCUGGGAUUAUGUGUUUCUGGCAUAGACCAGGCAAUUUCACCUGCCACACAACUGUGCCUAAUGAAUGCUUUCUUCUCACUCCGAAUGGAUCUUCUGCCACAUCUAAACACAUGGUAUGAUUGUCAGUUGUUCUGUUACCAUAAAGUUCUGAGACAAAACUUCCCAUGUCAAAAUAAAUCAGUCUGCUAAGAAUUUUUUGGUUCAUCUGGAAACCUUGGGACUGCCUAUAUUUCCAGGACUAUUUAAAAAUAUUUUAAAAGGUCUGCCAAAAAAUGGGAAUAUAUGAAGAAUCAGCAUGAUAACUAGUUUGAACACAUUUUUUAUGAAGCAAACCACAGAAUGCUUCACAGAGUUAAUAAAAACAUGAGUCCUCAGAACUCUUUAUGACAUUUGAGACUAAAAUUGGCUUCACUUUAAAUCACAGACUUUAGAGUCAGGCAGACCUAGGUAUAAAUCUUCUAUUUACCUUUUACUUGUUGUGAGAUUUUUGGCAAAUGACUUAACCUCUCUGAGCCUCAGCUUUCUCAUCUGUGAAACGGAAAUGUCUGCUUCCCAGGGUUAUGGGGGUUAAAGAAUGAAACUGUGAAGAAUGCAACUAGACUUCAACAUCAGUCACUCCCAAGGUUCUUUCCUUUCUGUUUAGAAGUCACCUCUGUGGAAAAAGAAGGCAGAUCCUACACAGGUGAUGGGAUUUUAUGCUCAACCUGGACAACUUUCAAUCCUUCCUUCUUAUUUGUGUGCAAGUAAUAAAAUUAAAAAAGCUUGAGUUCCAUAAUCAACACAAAACCUCAUAAAGCCCAGACCAAGCCAUUUUCUUUCAUUCUUUGCGUUCUUUCUUUCUGCUCAUUUGGGAACAUCUUUAUCUUGUAGACACUUCAAGAAAAUGACAGGCAACCAUGGCUAGUGUGGGGACACAGGACCCUGAAAAAGUGGCAGUGCCACGCAGAAGAGAUGGUUGUUUUGGUUGAUGCUAAGCCAGGUGCUAGGCCAACUGGAUAUCCAUGAGAAAAAAUGAUUCUGACCCCAACUUCACCCUUAUUAGUGUUUGUUUCCCAUAAAAUCCACUGCUCCAUUUCCAGGUCUGGGCUUAAGACGCUGAUCGGUGGGAUUGCCAGCUGAGCAGAUCUCAGACACUCCAGCUCCUCUUUUGGUUGAAUCAGUGGGUCACUAAUAGUUAUUGACACCAACUGAGCUCAAUAUCACUGGUCAUCAUUACCAGUCCACGGAAUCCACAGAGACAGUCAUCCACAUUUCCCGUUGUGAUUGGUGAGGCAUUAGAAAGGAUAGAUUUUCACAGGGCGAGGUUGUGAAAAUGACUUGAAAAAUCUCAGUGGCUAACAGGUAAAGGCAUGUCUUCCUCGCACCACAGGUUCUGCUCAUCUUCACGAUCCAAGAACUCAGGUGACCCAGGUCUCCCUGUUUCCAUCAUCAAGAUGGGAAAGGAGCAGGUGCUGGUUCUUAAAGCUUCUAUCCAGAACACUCAUAUCUCAUUGACAAAGACAAGCCCGAGAUUCUCCUCAAGGAUGUGCCAUCCUCCAUGAAAGGGGCGCUGAAUACUGUGGAUUCUGGUGCCUCCCACCGUGGGGGCAGCUAGGGGGUAUCAGCAACACCGGAUGCUGACAAAAUCACAUUGAUUUUCU
rnacentral:lncRNA from 10 species